AAUAGAUACCCGGGUAGUCCACGCCGUAAACGGUGGGCACUAGGUGUGGGCGACAUUCCACGUCGUCCGUGCCGCAGCUAACGCAUUAAGUGCCCCGCCUGGGGAGUACGGCCGCAAGGCUAAAACUCAAAGGAAUUGACGGGGGCCCGCACAAGCGGCGGAGCAUGUGGCUUAAUUCGACGCAACGCGAAGAACCUUACCAAGGCUUGACAUACACCGGAAACGUCCAGAGAUGGGCGCCCCCUUGUGGUCGGUGUACAGGUGGUGCAUGGCUGCCGUCAGCUCGUGUCGUGAGAUGUUGGGUUAAGUCCCGCAACGAGCGCAACCCUUGUCCCGUGUUGCCAGCAGGCCCUUGUGGUGCUGGGGACUCACGGGAGACCGCCGGGGUCAACUCGGAGGAAGGUGGGGACGACGUCAAGUCAUCAUGCCCCUUAUGUCUUGGGCUGCACACGUGCUACAAUGGCCGGUACAAUGAGCUGCGAUACCGCGAGGUGGAGCGAAUCUCAAAAAGCCGGUCUCAGUUCGGAUUGGGGU
rnacentral:rRNA from 1 species